rnacentral:rRNA from 1 species
UGUAUUUAACUGUGGUACACGAAAGAGAAAUUGAGUGAGUUACAUGAGGCAUUUUUAUUUUUUUUGGGUUAUUUUUAACUUGAUUACUCAGUAGUUAGUGCUUUAUUCAUGAAUGGGACUUUAGAAAGGCGCUCAAUUAGAAAGGGGGUUAGACACAGUGCCAGCAUCUGCGGUUA